rnacentral:rRNA from 1 species
UGAACCGCAUGGUUCAAAAGUGAAAGACGGUCUUGCUGUCACUUAUAGAUGGAUCCGCGCUGCAUUAGCUAGUUGGUAAGGUAACGGCUUACCAAGGCAACGAUGCAUAGCCGACCUGAGAGGGUGAUCGGCCACACUGGAACUGAGACACGGUCCAGACUCCUACGGGAGGCAGCAGUAGGGAAUCUUCCGCAAUGGGCGAAAGCCUGACGGAGCAACGCCGCGUGAGUGAUGAAGGUCUUCGGAUCGUAAAACUCUGUUAUUAGGGAAGAACAUAUGUGUAAGUAACUGUGCACAUCUUGACGGUACCUAAUCAGAAAGCCACGGCUAACUACGUGCCGGCAGCCGCGGUAAUACGUAGGUGGCAAGCGUUAUCCGGAAUUAUUGGGCGUAAAGCGCGCGUAGGCGGUUUUUUAAGUCUGAUGUGAAAGCCCACGGCUCAACCGUGGAGGGUCAUUGGAAACUGGAAAACUUGAGUGCAGAAGAGGAAAGUGGAAUUCCAUGUGUAGCGGUGAAAUGCGCAGAGAUAUGGAGGAACACCAGUGGCGAAGGCGACUUUCUGGUCUGUAACUGACGCUGAUGUGCGA